CCUACGGGUGGCAGCAGUGAGGAAUAUUGGUCAAUGGGCGCGAUCCUGAACCAGCCAAGCCGCGUGAAGGAAGACGGCCCUAUGGGUUGUAAACCUCUUUUGUCGGAGAACAAAACCCGGGACGUGUCCCGCACUGCGUGUAUCCGACGAAAAAGCAUCGGCUAACUCCGUGCCAGCAGCCGCGGUAAUACGGAGGAUGCGAGCGUUAUCCGGAUUUAUUGGGUUUAAAGGGUGCGUGGGCGGUCCGUUAAGUCAGCGGUAAAAUUGCGGGGCUCAACCCCGUCGAGCCGUUGAAACUGGCAGCCUUGAGUUGGCGAGAGGUACGCGGAAUGCGCGGUGUAGCGGUGAAAUGCAUAGAUAUCGCGAAGAACUCCGAUUGCGAAGGCAGUGUACCGGCGCGAAACUGACGCUGAGGCACGAAAGCGUGGGGAUCGAACAGGAUUAGAUACCCGAGUAGUC
rnacentral:rRNA from 1 species